GUGGGGAAUAUUGGACAAUGGGCGAAAGCCUGAUCCAGCCAUGCCGCGUGUGUGAAGAAGGUCUUCGGAUUGUAAAGCACUUUAAGUUGGGAGGAAGGGCAGUAAGUUAAUACCUUGCUGUUUUGACGUUACCGACAGAAUAAGCACCGGCUAACUUCGUGCCAGCAGCCGCGGUAAUACGAAGGGUGCAAGCGUUAAUCGGAAUUACUGGGCGUAAAGCGCGCGUAGGUGGUUUUGUAAGUUGGAGGUGAAAUCCCCGGGCUCAACCUGGGAACUGCCUCCAAAACUGCAUGACUAGAGUACGGUAGAGGGUAGUGGAAGUUCCUGUGUAGCGGUGAAAUGCGUAGAUAUAGGAAGGAACACCAGUGGCGAAGGCGACUACCUGGACUGAUACUGACACUGAAGUGCGAAAGCGUGGGGAGCAAACAGGAUUAGAAACCCCUGUAGUCC
rnacentral:rRNA from 1 species